GAUUAGAAGCUUGCUUCUAUGACGUUAGCGGCGGNCGGGUGAGUAACACGUGGGCAACCUGCCUGUAAGACUGGGAUAACUUCGGGAAACCGAAGCUAAUACCGGAUAGGAUCUUCUCCUUCAUGGGAGAUGAUUGAAAGAUGGUUUCGGCUAUCACUUACAGAUGGGCCCGCGGUGCAUUAGCUAGUUGGUGAGGUAACGGCUCACCAAGGCAACGAUGCAUAGCCGACCUGAGAGGGUGAUCGGCCACACUGGGACUGAGACACGGCCCAGACUCCUACGGGAGGCAGCAGUAGGGAAUCUUCCGCAAUGGACGAAAGUCUGACGGAGCAACGCCGCGUGAGUGAUGAAGGCUUUCGGGUCGUAAAACUCUGUUGUUAGGGAAGAACAAGUACNAGAGUAACUGCUNGUACCUUGACGGUACCUAACCAGAAAGCCACGGCUAACUACGUGCCAGCAGCCGCGGUAAUACGUAGGUGGCAAGCGUUAUCCGGAAUUAUUGGGCGUAAAGCGCGCGCAGGCGGUUUCUUAAGUCUGAUGUGAAAGCCCACGGCUCAACCGUGGAGGGUCAUUGGAAACUGGGGAACUUGAGUGCAGAAGAGAAAAGCGGAAUUCCACGUGUAGCGGUGAAAUGCGUAGAGAUGUGGAGGAACACCAGUGGCGAANGCGGCUUUUUGGUCUGUAACUGACGCUGANGCGC
rnacentral:rRNA from 1 species